UGAUAGGGACAGUUGGGGGCAUCAGUAUUCUGAAGCGAGAGGUGAAAUUCUUGGACCUUCGGAAGACUAACAGCUGCGAAAGCGUUUGCCUAGGAUGUUCUCUUUAAUCAAGAACGAAAGUUGGGGGAUCGAAGACGGUCAGAUACCGUCGUAGUCUCAACUAUAAACUAUGCCAGCUAGGGAUUGGUGGACGUUUAUUUACGACUCCAUCAGCACCUUAUGAGAAGUCAAAGCAUUUGGGUUCCGGGGGGAGUAUGGUCGCAAGGCUGAAACUUAAAGGAAUUGACGGGAGGGCACCACCAGGAGUGGAGCCUGUGGCUUAAUUUGACUCAACACGGGAAAACUUACCAGGUCCGGACAUAGUAAGGAU
rnacentral:rRNA from 1 species